rnacentral:rRNA from 1 species
GGCCAGCAGCCGCGGUAAUACGUAGGGUGCAAGCGUUGUUCGGAAUCACUGGGCGUAAAGGGAGCGUAGGCGGAAUUGUAAGUUAGGAGUGUAAUACCCGGGCUUAACCCGGGUCUUGCUUUUAAUACUGCAAUUCUUGAGUUUGGAAGAGGGAGAUGGAAUUCCAGGUGUAGCGGUGGAAUGCGUAGAUAUCUGGAAGAACACCAGUAGCGAAGGCGGUCUCCUGGUCCUAUACUGACGCUGAGGCUCGAAAGUUAGGGGAGCAAACAGGAUUAGAUACCCUGGUAGUCCUAACUAUAAACUAUGGAUACUAGAUGCUGGGGGAGUCAAUCUUUCCAGCGUCGUAGCUAACGCAUUAAGUAUCCCGCCUGGGAAGUACGCCCGCAAGGGUGAAACUCAAAGGAAUUGACGGGGGCCCGCACA